rnacentral:rRNA from 1 species
UACGUAGGGGGCAAGCGUUGUCCGGAAUCAUUGGGCGUAAAGAGCGUGUAGGCGGCUCGAUAAGUCUGCUGUGAAAGUCCAGGGCUCAACCCUGGAAGGCCGGUGGAAACUGUCGGGCUAGAGUCCGGAAGAGGCGAGUGGAAUUCCCGGUGUAGCGGUGAAAUGCGCAGAUAUCGGGAGGAACACCAAUGGCGAAGGCAGCUCACUGGGCCGAUACUGACGCUGAGGAGCGAAAGCGUGGGGAGCGAACAGG